rnacentral:lncRNA from 1 species
GAACACCCCCCCAACCGAUUUUUUCUUCUCCUCGCCACCACCACGUCCGGCCAUCAAUUCCGUCGGCACCGGUCUCAAAAGAACCAGCUCGUCCUCCUCUACACGUCUCAGCCCUCAGCCGCUCCACUCCGCCGCUGACGUCGCCGGAAUUUGCAGAAAAUCGGUGGUUUUUUCCGAAAAUUCAAACCGUUCGUUCUCCC